UCUUCCACAUGCACACACACAUACUCUGGAGUCAACACUAAGGUUGUUGUAAGAAGUACUGUACAUUGUUUGUCUUUACAGCCCAGAGAAGCAUCAACAAAAAUAUGGGUCCGGUUCAGCUCCCCCACCAUUGUGUCUCAAGGAUCACCUGGUCCUUUGCCUCAUACAGGUUUUCACGACUGGAUCUAUGCAAAAAAGGGAAAGAUUCUGAAUGUUUUCAGCACACGUAACACGACAGAAUCAAGAGACAGAAGGACUGAAGAAAAGAAUAUGAAAUUACUAAGGCUGAAUUGACUAGCAAAUACUCUGUUUCAGCAAUUUGGAGCAAAUAUAAUUGUUGUUCUUCACCACA